GCACAAGCAGCGGAGCGUGUGGUUUAAUUCGAUGUUACACGAAGAACCUUACCUGGGUUUGACAUGCUAGUGGUAAUGAAGCGAAAGCUAAGUGACCCGCAAGGGAGCUAGCACAGGUGCUGCAUGGCUGUCGUCAGCUUGUGUCGUGAGAUGUUCGGUUAAGUCCGCUAACGAGCGCAACCCUCGCUGUGUGUUACAAGUGUCACACAGGACCGCCGGUCUUAAGCCGGAGGAAGGUGGGGAUGACGUCAAGUCAGCAUGGCCUUUAUAUCCAGGGCUACACACACGCUACAAUGGUCAGUACAAUGGGUUGCCAAGCCGCGAGGCGGAGCCAAUCCUAAAAAGCUGGCCUCAGUUCAGAUUGCAGUCUGAAACUCGACUGCAUGAAGUCGGAGUUGCUAGUAAACGCAGGUCAGCUAUACUGCGUUGAAUACGUUCCCGGGGCUU
rnacentral:rRNA from 1 species